rnacentral:rRNA from 1 species
ACGAACGCUGGCGGCAGGCUUAACACAUGCAAGUCGAACGCACCUUUCGGGGUGAGUGGCAGACGGGUGAGUAACGCGUGGGAAUCUACCCUUCUCUACGGGAUAGCUCCGGGAAACUGGAAUUAAUACCGUAUACGUCCUGAGGGAGAAAGAUUUAUCGGGGAAGGAUGAGCCCGCGUUGGAUUAGCUAGUUGGUGGGGUAAAGGCCUACCAAGGCGACGAUCCAUAGCUGGUCUAAGAGGAUGAUCAGCCACAUUGGGACUGAGACACGGCCCAAACUCCUACGGGAGGCAGCAGUGGGGAAUAUUGGACAAUGGGCGCAAGCCUGAUCCAGCCAUGCCGCGUGAGUGAUGAAGGCCCUAGGGUUGUAAAGCUCUUUCAGUGGGGACGAUAAUGACGGUACCCACAGAAGAAGCCCCGGCUAACUUCGUG